GACGAACCGUGCGAACGUUGUUCGGAAUCACUGGGCUUAAAGGGCGCGUAGGCGGCUGCGCAAGUCCGGGGUGAAAGCCCCAGCUCAACUGGGAAGUGCCUUGGAUACUGUGCAGCUCGAGCGAGGUAGGGGUCGUGGGAACGUUCCGGUGGAGCGGUGAAAUGCGUUGAUAUCGGAAGGAACGCCGGUGGCGAAAGCGCACGACUGGACCUCUUCUGACGCUGAGGCGCGAAAGCCAGGGGAGC
rnacentral:rRNA from 1 species